UACGUAGGUGGCGAGCGUUGUCCGGAUUUACUGGGCGUAAAGGGAGCGUAGGCGGACUUUUAAGUGAGAUGUGAAAUACCCGGGCUCAACUUGGGUGCUGCAUUUCAAACUGGAAGUCUAGAGUGCAGGAGAGGAGAAUGGAAUUCCUAGUGUAGCGGUGAAAUGCGUAGAGAUUAGGAAGAACACCAGUGGCGAAGGCGAUUCUCUGGACUGUAACUGACGCUGAGGCUCGAAAGCGUGGGUAGCAAACAGGAUUAGAUACCCU
rnacentral:rRNA from 1 species